rnacentral:rRNA from 1 species
CGCGUAGGCGGUUCGUUAAGUCGGAUGUGAAAACUCUGGGCUCAACCCAGAGCCUGCAUCCGAAACUGGCGAGCUAGAGUUCUGGAGGGGGUAGCGGAAUUCCUGGUGUAGCGGUGAAAUGCGUAGAUAUCAGGAGGAACACCGGUGGCGAAGGCGGCUACCUGGACAGAAACUGACGCUGAGGCGCGAAAGCUAGGGGGAGCAAACA